rnacentral:rRNA from 1 species
AGUGAACGCUGGCGGCAGGCCUAAUACAUGCAAGUCGAACGGCAGCACAGCAGAGCUUGCUCUGUGGGUGGCGAGUGGCGGACGGGUGAGGAAUACGUGGGAAUCUGCCCAGUCGUGGGGGAUAACGUAGGGAAACUUACGCUAAUACCGCAUGCGCCCUUCGGGGAAAGCCGGGGGACCCUUCGGGGCCUGGCGCGAUUGGAUGAGCCCACGUCGGAUUAGCUAGUUGGCGGGUAAAGGCCCACCAAGGCGACGAUCCGUAGCUGGUCUGAGAGGAUGAUCAGCCACACUGGAACUGAGACACGGUCCAGACUCCUACGGGAGGCAGCAGUAGGGAAUAUUGGACAAUGGGCGCAAGCCUGAUCCAGCCAUGCCGCGUGAGUGAAGAAGGCCCUCGGGUUGUAAA